rnacentral:rRNA from 1 species
CCUACGGGGGACAGCAGUGAGGAAUAUUGGUCAAUGGACGAGAGUCUGAACCAGCCAAGUAGCGUGAAGGAUGACUGCCCUAUGGGUUGUAAACUUCUUUUAUAUGGGAAUAAAACAGGGUAUGCAUACCCUCUUGUAUGUACCAUAUGAAUAAGGAUCGGCUAACUCCGUGCCAGCAGCCGCGGUAAUACGGAGGAUCCGAGCGUUAUCCGGAUUUAUUGGGUUUAAAGGGAUCGUAGGUGGAUUGUUAAGUCAGUUGUGAAAGUUUGCGGCUCAACCGUAAAAUUGCAGUUGAAACUGGCAGUCUUGAGUACAGUAGAGGUGGGCGGAAUUCGUGGUGUAGCGGUGAAAUGCUUAGAUAUCACGAAGAACUCCGAUUGCGAAGGCAGCUCACUGGACUGCAACUGACACUGAUGCUCGAAAGCGCGGGUAUCGAACAGGAUUAGAUACCCUAGUAGUC